rnacentral:rRNA from 1 species
UACAGAGGUCUCAAGCGUUGUUCGGAUUCAUUGGGCGUAAAGGGUGCGUAGGUGGCGCUGUAAGUCGGGUGUGAAAUUUCGGAGCUUAACUCCGAAACUGCAUUCGAUACUGCGGUGCUUGAGGACUGGAGAGGAGACUGGAAUUCAUGGUGUAGCAGUGAAAUGCGUAGAGAUCAUGAGGAAGACCAGUGGCGAAGGCGGGUCUCUGGACAGUUCCUGAUACUGAGGCACGAAGGCCAGGGGAGCAAACGGG